rnacentral:sRNA from 1 species
AUAAUGCUGUCUCAAAUACGCAAGAUCGCAAAUGUCUGUUCCGGCACGGUUUUAACGUUUACUUCGUCAGAUUGAAAUCUCGCGUUACCUAAAAAAUGCGAGAUUUUGGGCAUAUUUUGUUUACUAGUUUCUAAGGGCAAGCAGAAGACGUAUAUAACUCGAUGAUACUAUCGUUUUACGAUGGUUCACUAUCACUGUGUUGCAGUAGGCUGUAAAAAUGACUCGCGGAAGAAAGGUAGACUUCACAAAUACCCAGAUAUGAUAGACAAAAACGGUAAUGCGGUUGAGUUUUUCCCACUGCCGUCAGCUGUAAAGUAUCCAAAAGAGAGAAAAGCUUGGAUAAACUCAGUCAGGCGUGCUGAUUUUAACCCCGGACCUCAAGAAUACUGGCAUAGCAUUUGUUCAAAACACUUUGUUGAUCAUGAACCCACGAAAGAAAACCCAAUUCCCACUCUCUUUUCCUACAACAACUACAAAAUAAAACAACAAAGGACAACUAAAAAUAGCAACGUGCCGUUACGUAAUCAAGACCAGUCCAUUAACAGUGGGACCCAGCAUAAUCUGGUUACACCUGCCCAUCUUCAACUGAAACGCCUUGUAGUCCCUGCUGAGGAAAUUUACAAAGGAGUUCAGUGUGAAGUAACACUCAGUACAAGGAACCAAAAACAAGUGAAGUACUCUUGCCUGUGCCUGAAUACACUCAAUACCCUACAAAGGAACAUUCAUACUCUCUUUCUGAUGAUACUAAGAAUGAUGAAAGCAAUGAAGGUCUCUGUGAGACAGGUGUAAAGGCAAAGUUAACAUUUCUAACUGUAGAAAACCAUCAGUUAAAG